GCUGACACUGACGUGAGUGCGAAGCGUGGUAGCAACAGAUAGAUACCUGUAGUCACGCUGUAACGUGAGAACUAGUCGUGGGCUAUGAAGCUUAGUGACGCAGCUAACGCGAUAAGUCUCCGCCUGGGAGUACGGCCGCAAGGUUAAACUCAAAUGAAUUGACGGGGCCCGCACAAGCGGUGGAGCAUGUGGUUUAAUUCGACGCAACGCGAAGAACUUACCUGGUCUUGACAUCCUGCGAACUUGGUAGAGAUACCUCGGUGCCUUCGGGAGCGCAGUGACAGGUGCUGCAUGGCCGUCGUCAGCUCGUGUCGUGAGAUGUUGGGUUAAGUCCCGUAACGAGCGCAACCCUUGUCCUUAGUUGCCAGCGGUCCGGCCGGGAACUCUAGGGAGACUGCCGGUGACAAACCGGAGGAAGGUGGGGAUGACGUCAGGUCAUCAUGGCCCUUACGGCCAGGGCUACACACGUGCUACAAUGGGGCGUACAGAGGGCAGCAAGCGCGCGAGUGCAAGCGAAUCCCUUAAAGCGUCUCGUAGUCCGGAUCGGAGUCUGCAACUCGACUCCGUGAAGUCGGAAUCGCUAGUAAUCGCGAAUCAGAAUGUCGCGGUGAAUACGUUCCCGGGCCUUGUACACACCGCCCGUCACACCAUGGGAGUGGACUGCACCAGAAGCGGUUAGUCUAACCUUCGGGAGGACGAUCGCCACGGUGUGGUUCACGACUGGGGUGAAGUCGUAACAAGGUAGCCGUAGGGGAACCUGCGGCUGGAUCACCUCCUU
rnacentral:rRNA from 1 species